CGUAGGGUGCGAGCGUUAAUCGGAAUUACUGGGCGUAAAGCGUGCGCAGGCGGUUUGUUAAGAUAGGCGUGAAAUCCCCGGGCUCAACCUGGGAACUGCGCUUAUGACUGGCAAGCUAGAGUACGGCAGAGGGGGUGGAAUUCCACGUGUAGCAGUGAAAUGCGUAGAGAUGUGGAGGAACACCAAUGGCGAAGGCAGCCCCCUGGGUCGAUACUGACGCUCAUGCACGAAAGCGUGGGUAGCAAACAGGAUUAGAUACCCUGGUAGUCCACGCCCUAAACGAUGUCAACUAGGUGUUGGGAGGGUAAAACCUUUUAGUACCGGAGCUAACGCGUGAAGUUGACCGCCUGGGGAGUACGGCCGCAAGGUUG
rnacentral:rRNA from 1 species